UGUGCCAACCAACCCAAUGUUGAGGCUGUUUGGCAGAAAUGCACAAAUGAGUUUUUGUCAUAAAUGCACUUAUUUCAGGAAAUAUUUUCUGACAAAGUGUCCAUUUUUAGGUAAGAUGUUCAGCUUUCAUUUGCUGUUAGUGGGCUUAUCCUACUGUACAGUAUGCCCAGGAUUUAGAGAGUGAAAACUGUGCCAACCAGCCCCCUCUCCCCUGUCGAAAUGUGUCCCUACAAAAUAUGGCCUAUAUGAUGGACUAAUAAUAUAACUUUAGCUUACAUGCAAACAUGAAUGAUGAACAAAACCCCCUUUUUUCCAAACAUUAACUAGCUUGUACAUAUCAACUAUUCUGAAUGACGCAUCUAUCCAAAUCAACAUCCAUGUUACAGUGUUGCUGAUAGUGUUGCACCAAAACAAAUGAACAUGGGAUUGAAGACUUUGCAGGAAGACAUUCUUUUAGCUCAUACAAUUUGCUCUCGAUGGUGAUUUUGUUCAUUAUUGAUUUUUGUAAUGGUCAUCAGUAUCCACUGGAAUGGCCGGUCCCAGCUUUACUGCACGUCUUGUACUGGGAGCAGAUUUUAACCUCUGAGAAACGUGGCCUGUCUCGGCGCAAGCACCUGUUCUGCCAUUGAGUCUCUGAUGUCCUGCAUAUCGAAUUCUAAUGUCUAAAUGGGGACUUGCCUUUUGAGAACGCAGACACUUUUGACAGGACACAUCGCUCUUAGUUUCCAGCUCUGCAUUAAUGGCUGCGAGCAGCUGCAGAUAAGACAGAUGAAAUUUUCUGUCUGACCUAAUAUGAGCCAGGGAGAUAAUUGUGUCAGUGGGGCUCAGGGGGACGCCAGAGCGUGGAUUUAGAUGAGGGGGGAGAGAGAGAGAGAGAGAGAGAGAGAGAGAGAGAUGUAGAGCAGAGCAGAGAGAGGGAGGCUCUGACCUGAGAUGUGUCCAGCUCCGUCUUCCUGUUACUGCCGAGUCUACACUAAAGUUACACGACACAGGCGUACGUGUGAUUGUUGUCACGUGACAACAACAAAAGCACAAACAGAGAAGCCGAAUGGACCGAAACGAUCCGUGCUUGUUUUCUUUGAUGUCAGUUGAGGUAGGUGUUCGUCGAAUGUCCAAGUAGAUGUGUGGUUUUGAAACAGCUGUAUAAAAAAACAAAUGGUUGUGGAAAGCUUUACUUUUAUCAGAUAUAUGAGAAAGUAACUGAGGAAUAAAGUACAAUACAAUAAAUAAAAUGAAAUAAAAGAGAUUAUUGAAAAAAUAUAUAUAUUUAAGACCGAAGGGGGCGACUUUGUACCUGUGUAUAUGUUAAAGAUCUUCUGUUUAUUGGCCUUUUUGUGAUGUCAUAGCUUUGUUCUUGUCCGGAUUGCAGUCCAAAGGGUUUGGGGUUUGCCCAUUGACCUCCCGAGUGGACGUUCAUCUGAAGCGGGGUGAACAUCCCGAGGGUGAGAGAGAGGGAGGAUGCCUGAGGGGUGAGGGUACCCUGCCCACAAAAAACAAGAGAGAGAACGUCACUGGUUUCUUUUUCCUUUUCUUUGCCUGUUCUGGAGAGAGAGACUCGGACUUUCUGGUUGUUCUGGUUCUUGUCCCACCAUCUCGCUGGUUCAUGCCCCACCCUCCUCGGGGGGUGUGUGUGUCUCAUCGUUUUUUUCGAACCAAACAUCGGAAGACCUGAGAACUGGUUACAUUUACCUGCAAGCCCAGGAAUGCACUACUGAUUGGUAUCUGAAGAGUACGAAUAAACUUAAAAAA